rnacentral:rRNA from 1 species
UACGUAGGGGGCAAGCGUUGUCCGGAAUCAUUGGGCGUAAAGCGCCGCGUAGGCGGCCAGAUAAGUCCGGUGUGAAAGUCACAGGCUCAACCUGUGAAUGCCGCUGGAAACUGUCUGGCUUGAGGUCCGGAAGGGGCGAGUGGAAUUCCUGGUGUAGCGGUAGAAAUGCGCAGAUAUCAGGAGGAACACCAAUGGCGAAGGCAGCUCGCUGGAACGGUACUGACGCUGAGGCGCGAAAGCGUGGGGAGCGAACAGG